GUUGAACGCUGGCGGCGUGCCUAAUACAUGCAAGUCGAGCGGACAGACGAGGCUCUCGCUCCUCUGCCGUUAGCGACGGACGGGUGAGUACCACGUGGCUACCCUACCUAUAAGGCUGGCGUCCCUUCGCGAAACCGAAUCUAAUACCCGAUCAGAUGUAAAACCGCAUGGUUCUUCGGAGCACGCCCGUUCUGCUGUCCCUUAUACAUGGAACCACGCCGCAGUAGCUAGUUGGUACGGUAACGGCUUACCAAGGCAACGAUGCGUAGCCGACCUGAGAGGGUGAUCAGCCACACUGGAACUGAGACACGGUCCAGACUCCUACGGGAGGCAGCAGUAGGGAAUCUUCCACAAUGGGCGAAAGCCUGAUGGAGCAACGCCGCGUGAGUGAAGAAGGUCUUCGGAUCGUAAAACUCUUUUAGUAGGGAAGAACAAAAGUGUAAGUAACUAUGGACGUCUUGACGGUACCUAAUCAGAAAGCCACGGCUAACUACGUG
rnacentral:rRNA from 1 species